GCUGUAGUCUAGGGCCUUACUACUUUGCUGUUGUUGCUGUGCUUUCUAUUUCAUUGCUGUACUGCUCACUUUUUUGGGGUGCACUUAGUAUGGUAUUGUCUUUUUGUAAAUAACACUUCUCAAGAUCAACUUGUCUAGGAAAGCCUUAUGUUACAAAUCUUAAUUGGGGUUAGAGUUUGGGGGCCCCUGUUUCUUGCUUAUUAGGACAUUAAUAUCCUCAUGAAGAGAGGAGCGUACAGCACUGCUGCUUGCCUUGGCUUUUUCUGGAAUGGCACUGAAGUAUGAAGUAUAAAAGCACUGAAAUAUUCAAGGUACAAGCCGUUUUGUACUAGGCAUGUUCUUCAUUCAAGAUACGGAUGACUAAAUAAUUCAGUCCAAUGGAACCAGGACUAUUACACUUUGAAAUUACAGCUGCUUGGAGUAGGAAAAGAGUGUCUUGUCCUCUGCUCCUGGUGAUGAGGAGAAUCUCUCUCUGAAGGAUGGCAUUUGAAAAACAAACAAGAGGGCUGGAUGGAUACUCUGGGAGUUUUACAGCUCCACUUUUGAAAAAUACUGUAGAACUUCUUUGUACAGCUGCACAGUGUAGAAUUGUCUAAGCUCCAUUACAUCAUGGUGUAUUGCAUUGUGAAAUGAAGUGAUUGCAAUGUGAUUGGAACAGCUGAUGUAUUUCAAAACACUUGACAGAAGGGAAAGUGUAAUGGAAAAUCAAAUGGAUAUACAUGGAUAGCAGAAGUGAUCCAAACAAAUUUUGAACAAAAUUAUCUUUGCUAUCCCUUUUGUAAAAACAACUUUGUGUUAGCAGAUUGAUUUGUAUUUAUGAUGGUAUAGAUCUUCUCGUGUUCAAUUUCCUUAUACGAAUCUUACAGAAAACAAUAGUUGGAUACUGCAGUAUAAAAUAAUAUAAAUAAAGAAUUUAUAUAUUAAAUU
ensembl:lncRNA